rnacentral:rRNA from 1 species
GACGAACGCUGGCGGCGUGCCUAAUACAUGCAAGUAGAACGCUGAAGGAGGAGCUUGCUUCUCUGGAUGAGUUGCGAACGGGUGAGUAACGCGUAGGUAACCUGCCUGGUAGCGGGGGAUAACUAUUGGAAACGAUAGCUAAUACCGCAUAAGAGUAGAUGUUGCAUGACAUUGGCUUAAAAGGUGCAAUUGCAUCACUACCAGAUGGACCUGCGUUGUAUUAGCUAGUUGGUGGGGUAACGGCUCACCAAGGCGACGAUGCAUAGCCGACCGGAGAGGGGGAGCGGCCAACCUGAGACGGUGACACGGCCCAUACUGCUACGGGAGGCAGCAGUAGGGAAUCUUCGGCAAUGGACGGAAGUCUGACCGAGCAACGCCGCGUGAGUGAAGAAGGUUUUCGGAUCGUAAAGCUCUGUUGUAAGAGAAGAACGAGUGUGAGAGUGGAAAGUUCACAGUGUGGCGGUAUCUUACCAGAAAGGGACGGCUAACUACGUG